CGCGGGGUGGAGCAGCCUGGUAGCUCGUCGGGCUCAUAACCCGAAGGUCGCAAGUUCAAAUCUUGCCCCCGCAA
rnacentral:tRNA from 1 species